AGAACGAACGCUGGCGGCAGGCUUAACACAUGCAAGUCGAACGCGUGUAGCAAUACACGAGUGGCGCACGGGUGAGUAACGCGUGGAUAUCUGCCUUUUGGUUCGGAAUAACCCCGGGAAACUGGGGCUAAAUACCGGAUGGUUCCUACGGGAUAAAGAUUUAUCGCCAAAAAGAUGAGUCCGCGUACGAUUAGCUAGUUGGUGAGGUAAUGGCUCACCAAGGCGACGAUCGUUAGCUGGUCUGAGAGGACGAUCAGCCACACUGGGACUGAGACACGGCCCAGACACCUACGGGUGGCAGCAGUCGAGAAUUUUUGACAAUGGGGGAAACCCUGAUCGAGCGACGCCGCGUGGAGGAUGAAGGUCUUCGGAUUGUAAACUCCUGUCAUUUGGGAACAAGGUGCACACGUUAACUGCGUGCGUAUUGAUAGUACCAGAAGAGGAAGAGACGGCUAACUCUGCGCCAGCAGCCGCGGUAA
rnacentral:rRNA from 1 species